AAUGGACAAAAUACCACAACCAAUGACAUCUGACCGUAAAGAGAUGGAUUUAGGUAGAAGGAAGAAUGCUUUAACGCAGAAUAUGGGUCUCUGAGGGAAAUGUUAUCUCGUAAUUUUCUCACUUUUGGUGUGUUUAAGCUGUAGGACAAGGAGUGAACCCUAACAUUUGGUGAGAGUCUGUGAAACACACUAGGAACCCCCAUGCUGCUUGCAAGUUACUUCUGAGAAACAGCAGAAUGUCACACCCUGUCACCCGUAGGUGCCGUCUGAGGGGCACUCAUCCCCACCAGCCCGAGGGCCUCCCCGCCAAGGGAGGGGUGUACUCCCUUCCACUCGGCGUCUGCUUGUGCAUUGCCCCUCCCUGAACUCAAGACCUGAGCCUCUCUCGCCUGGACUAUUUGGAAAGUCUACAAAUGGAAGAAGGGGUGCUCUCACUGAGUUGUGUCCGCACAAGGGAAACUGUCCAGGAGCCACAGAAGAUGGUUCGCCAAGCCUGUUUGUUGCACACAUGUGGCAUGUCAGCAGAAACACGGGGCAAAUACACACGUGAACACAAGAACCCCGGGUCCCUCCCUCAUCUACCCGUGCUUCACCCAGCAACCCUCAGUCACCCCAGCCGGCUCCCUCUCACCACCCACGGGCUUUCUGUGGAGGCCCCAGCCUGGCCCUGGAGGCUGUGACCCACCCCGCCUCUUGCCUGAGGUCAGCCCAAGAGACCUUCCUGUCUUCGGCCUGGAGAAGGAGCGGCCGCCAGGACCACCCAGGCCUCAGCUCCCUGGGAGGGCCCCUGGAGGUCAGCUUCCGUGGCCAGGGGAUGAAUGGGAGUGUCGUCUGGAUGAACCCCCCAGGACUCUGACCUGGGAAGUGGAGCAGCCUGAUUUGGAGGCGAGGACACACCAGGAGGCACCUUGCCCUGUGGCCACUGCACUGAGGCUUGAGAGAUCACUAGAGACAGCUCAGCCUCAGUCUGCCUCACCCAAUGGACUGUGCCUUUGCGUUUCUUGUGCACAAAUCCUGCUGAAGUCUGGGCAGCUGUGUGUUUGAUGAUGGGCUUGUAGGAGAGAAGCAUCUGGACUGCGCCGUGCAGAUGGCGCUUCUCUCCAGGCACAGUCACAUUCCUGGGAGGUUCCUGGAGGCCUCCGAGCCUCGUGCAGACCCAAGGCUGCCUCACCACCAUGGCCACAGCCCAGUGCUGGCUCCCGGGCAUCAAAUCUGCAGAAAUGCACGUGGCAUAAAAGCACCAGAGACAUCCGUCCAGAGCCUAGGGCUCCUCCCUGGCCCAACAUUUUGUCCACGUAAGUCCACUUUUUGGCUGCUGCUCCCAGGCCUGGCAAGAACGCAGAUCCCCACAGCCUCCUGCUCCCUGGCGGCCUGAGGACAGUGUCGUAGGCCUGGGAUCCUCGGGCAGAACUGAAUGCAGCUUUUCCACUGGAGGGCGCUGGGCCCACGUGGCAAUCACAGGUAUGGCAGAUGGACUCACGGGAUGCUCCGGGACUCCAGGGGCCUCAGGAGAAAGGCCCACUGGCAGCGGGUUGCCCGGGGCUCCAGAGGGGGGCUCCAAUGUGAACCAGUUGCUUGUGGCACAGCGGGUCACCCAGGAUGGCCCUGCGUGGUCAGUGAUAACAGGCAGUCACUCACAGCACGACUUCACCCAUGGUCACUCCCGGUGACCAGCACUGCACAGCCUGGGCUUUCAUCCCACAUGGCACCUCCCUGUCCAGCCUUGGCCCAAGUGCCUGGGAAACGGACAGGGCACCGUGUGCCUGAACACACUCGGACAGUCGAGGCCCCCAGGAGAAGCAACAGGCAAUGACUCGGUCCCCAAGAAGCCGAGCCUGUCCUUGCUGGGGUCUGUCAUCUCCUCUUAGCCCCGCCAGGCUCCUGAAGCUGCCACAUGUGCAGCGGGAGGUGGGUGGUUUGGGAGCAGAACGAGGCUCUGGAUGGACGGGCUUUACCACCAGCAGCCACCACCACCUGCUCUGCGGGGCCUGGGCCAGCCCUGAGGAGGUGGCAGACGGAAGGAGGGGCAGCACUGCCUCAGGUCUCCUUUACUGUCUUCCAGACAUCGGCUCAGGGAGAGUAGGCAUGUAGCACUGAGGAACAGGGUUGCUCCCCACGGCUGCCUCUGCUUCCCUGCUGCACAGUGUCUGUACACGGCCUGGGGACCUGCGAGGCCAGACCGCAGGGCAGGGGCCCACGGCUGUGCCAGCUUCUCUCCCAGGCCGUGGCGGUUAUUACCUCCUGACUUGGCAGAACAUCCGGCUACUGGAGCCCAUUGGUUCUGGCCAGUGCAGUCAGGACUUAGCUUCCCAGCCGUGACCUAAAUCCCAGCCUCCCAAAGGCACAGCGCCUAAGUUCUCCCCUGCCAAGCUCACAGCCUUCUCCUUGGCAGGCUGCCCUUUCUCCUGCUGGACCAAACCAAGGAGCACGGUGACCCAGGGACACCACACUCGGUGUCAGCCUCUGAGGCCACGGAGCCAUGCAGACCCAGAGCAGGAUUAGAAACAGAUCUUCCCGGGAGGCAGAGAGCCAGGCCUCCUGGUUUAUAGCGUGACAAGGCAGCACUCAGGAGGACGCAUCAAUCCUUCUCCACGUGAGCACCUGUGACUGUGACCACUGGGACCCUUGGGCCUGGCGUUUCUUCACCGGCGACCAUCCAGGAGCUGGACCUGCCUUAGGGCGUCAGUUUCCAGGGAAGCCUCUGGCCUGUGUGUGAGCCUCCCCACCUUCCCGGCCACGGCCUCCACAGGCGCCCUGCACAGCCCCGCCCCUCCUGGGGCAAAGGCUUUGCGAAGACUUUCUUCUCUGGCUCAUCCCUUUAAGGAGGCAUAAAAACGAACCCCGGGCCUCACAGGUCCGGAAUGCGCCCCCCUCCACGAUGGGAGCUUCUUGGCCUUGGCUGUGCAGGGGCCGGGGCUCCUGGGGGUCUGGCCGGAUCUGCAGUAGUGCUGAAUGAGCUGUGGCCAGGAAGACGCAAUGAAUAAUUGUCGCUUAAAAGGAUAAACAGAAAUUCCAUUUCCCUUUUAAAUACUUGAACAUUUCAAAACAUCUGGAGGACGCGAUGCUUUUCCUUCCAAGCAUCUCCGUGGAGUUUUGUGGGUUACCGCAGAGGAUCGGCAGCAUUCCUCUCUCAGGGAAAACUGGCCUGAGCGUUGCAUAACGCAGGCAGACUGCACCCCUCACGUCGCCCGGGGCCACAUGCACAUGUUUCCAAGAGACUUGCUGGAGAAUCUUCCCCGGAUCUUGACAAAGUUGGACAUGGAAAGCACGUUGGUCCAUCCAAGGUCCACAGAGCGACCCUGGCUAUGAAAAAUCGUCCUCCGAGUGGGAGUCUGUCUGCCAGGAGUGAGGUGACACCGCACAUGGCCUCAGGAGCUGGAAACGCUGGUGAAUUCAGAUGCAGCCAAACCUUAGUCACAGUUAUUAAUUAUUCUUGGUCUUAUUGGAGCAGGAACCACUGCCAUGCAUCGGGCCGGCAAGGCUCACUCCCCACCGUAGGAUCCCUGUGUAGACGGUCGCUCCAUCAGUGUAGUUGGGCAUGUGGAGCAAGGGACUGGGCUGACCCUACCUUCCAAGCAUCGACGUGGCCUUCAGCAGAGCAGGAGGAGAUAGCCCAGGACUUGUACUUUGCAGUUGAAGUGCCAGACCUAAGAAAUGCAAACCUGAGGACGGAAAGGAGGGUGGAGAGGGGGGAGGUGCCUGGAUUGGCCGUCCAGAGCAGCCCCAGCUGCAGCACGUGGAACUUUGCCGGCUGCCUCACAGGCCUGGUGGCAGCGUCCCCAGCGAGCAGCCUGUCCCACAUAUGAAGGUGCCCAUUCUCUUAGCCCCUCGCUAAGAGUUUCACUGACCAGAGCUCCCUGAGUCCAGGGCUCCACUCAAGGGACUGCGGUACCCGUUGGUGAAGAAGGCCUGUUGGGGCCAAUGCUUCCCCCCACAGGGAAGCAGAGCUAUAUUUUGUCGGACAGAACUUUGCAAGCCUGAAACAGCUGGUGGUGGCCCCAGAGCCAAGAUCUGACCUCACUCCACAGCUGAAGGGCACAGAGAAGGCACAGCUAGAGGUGGCAGGUGCCCCUCAAAGCUCUCGGGAGAGGGUGCAAAGUGGGACCUCCCAGCACCCUUGGCCUCUAGGCCUCAAAAGCCCUGAGAGGGCUGCAUGCAAGGAGGCAAAGCUGGAGAAGGAUGUGGGAGGCAGGUGGCUAAGAAGACAGGCUGGAAAGGGACGUGGGAGGUAGGUGGCUUUGCUCUAAACAGAAUCGUCUCAGUAAUGUGACACUGCACAUGAAUAGGUAGGCUCACUCAUGGGCAUAACCCUCUAAAACACACCUUUUA
rnacentral:lncRNA from 1 species